AGAGUUUGAUCCUGGCUCAGGACGAACGCUGGCGGCGUGGAUUAGGCAUGCAAGUCGAACGGUAUAAACCUUUCGGGGUUUAGAGAGUGGCGAACGGGUGAGUAACACGUAGGUAAUCUACCCUCAAAACGGGGACAACCCAGGGAAACUUGGGCUAAUACCGGAUGCGUGCAAGCAAUGUUUUGGCUGUUAAUGCUAUUCACGGAAGUGAGUAGUGUUAAUGGUUGAGAGCAUUAUUUGCAUAAAAGGUGGCAUAUGCUGCCGUUUGAGGAUGAGCCUGCGUCCUAUUAGUUAGUUGGUGAGGUAAUGGCUUACCAAGGCGAUGAUAGGUAGGCGGCCUUAACGGGUGGUCGCCCACACUGGGAUUGAGAUACGGCCCAGACUCCUACGGGAGGCAGCAGUCGAGAAUAGUCUACAAUGGACGGAAGUCUGAUAGUGCGACGCCGCGUGAACGAAGAAUCCCUUCGGGGUGUAAAGUUCUUUUAUACGUGAGCAGUGCCCUUUAUAUUAAUAGUAUAAGGGGAGAGAUAUUAGCGUAUGAAUAAGCAACGGCUAACUCCGUGCCAGCAGCCGCGGUAACACGGGGGUUGCAAGCGUUGUCCGGAAUUACUAGGCGUAAAGUGCAGGUAGGCGGAUAGAUAAGUUUAAGGUUAAAGGCUACGGCUUACCCGUAGUAAGGCGUUAGAUACUGUUUAUCUGGAAUGCGGUUGAGGGAGACAGAAUUCCUGGUGUAGCGGUGGAAUGCGCAGAGAUCAGGAGGAAUACCGAAGGCGAAGGCAGUCUUCUAAGCCGAUAUUGACGCUAAACUGCGAAGGUGUGGGGAUCAAACAGGAUUAGAUACCCUGGUAGUCCACACAGUAAACGAUAAUCACUAGGUGUUGGGUUCGUAUAGGACUCGGUGCCGGAGCUAACGCGAUAAGUGAUUCGCCUGGGGAGUACGAUCGCAAGGUUGAAACUCAAAGGAAUUGACGGGGGCCCGCACAAGCGGUGGAGCAU
rnacentral:rRNA from 1 species